AGAUUCGGCAGAGAUUUUCCUCCUCCGUGAUGAGAUUUUUCCUCCUUCGUGAUCUGCAAAUAAAUACCAAACAAAUUCAAAAUAAUCAAAAAAAAGAGAAUUCAAAAUUUAUUCCCCUCAACCCACGAUUUAAAAACCGUUCCCCUCUCUUCCAUGAAUCUCUCCCUAAAUCCAAACUACUCAUCAGCCAUCUUUUCUCUAUUAUAUAUUUUUCUCUCCAAAUCACACUUCUCAGCUCUCUUUCUCUCCAAGAACUUGUUCAUGUCUAACGGGAAUGGCACAUACAAUUGAUGCUUGUGUUGUUAUGCAACAAGGGAGAGUUCAACAAGUUUUGAUUUUUUUUUUGAAGUCGGCUGUUAUGGGGAUUGAGAACCAAUGCUCCAAAGGUGGGAAUUAUAUUGGUGGCUUCCUCCAGAUGUUUGAUUGGAAUGCUGAAUCUAGGAAGAAGCUGUUUUCAAGCAAGUCAGAAGUAACCGAGAAAUCCAAACAGAAGAAAAGAUGUGACGGGAAUUCGCCAAGGACGCAUCUUUCCAUGGGAGUUAGAAAGUAAAAGAGAAUCAAUAGUUGCUGUGAUGAUUUCUGAUAGCUCGCUGAUGGAAGAGUAACAGCGGUUUAGAACCUCGACUUCGAUGCGGCGGCGCACGCCGAGCAGCAGGAAUGGACGACGACACUGCUCGUUUAACCGGCGAAUCUCGAUGCAGCAGCAGCAGCGUGAACCGCGACGGCUGGGUCACCUCCGCUCCAACAGUGAUGACAGACGGCGGCAAAUCGGAGCGACGAAAAAUUUGGGAGAGAAGAAGAUGGGCGUGUACAAUGGGGGAAGAAAAUAAGGAUUUGGGCCUAUGGUUUUUUUUUAAAAAGAUUGGGCCUCAUUAAUUGGAAUAGGAAGAUAUAUUUUUUUAGUUGGGCUAUUGUACCAAAUUUUUCUUUUGGGCCAAGUUGUUAAUGGCUUAAGUGGGCUGGAGUAUUCUUUUUGUUGGGUCAAGCUCGGGCAGCCUCAGCAAUAAUUGAAAGACGGGAAGCAUGGACUUAAGGAGGGAAAUUCUUCGUGAAUCAAUUUGAAGUCGAAGUAAGGAGUCAGAAAAUUAAACAAACGAGGUUGAGCGGUGACGAGCGCGGUGGGUGUUGAGCAUAAAAGUGAGGAAUGUCUACCAAAUGUCAAGAAUAUGUUGUGUCUUCAUACAUAGCAUUAUUCUACUCUCGAAAUGCUUCCGCUAAAUAUUGUUUCUUUUGAGUUGUUGAUUGUUGAGAUACUCUGAUUUUUUUCGAACUAUUCCCAUUUG